rnacentral:rRNA from 1 species
AGUGAACGCUGGCGAUAGGCCUAACACAUGCAAGUCGAACGGCAGCACAGUAAGAGCUUGCUCUUACGGGUGGCGAGUGGCGGACGGGUGAGGAAUACAUCGGAAUCUACUUUUUCGUGGGGGAUAACGUAGGGAAACUUACGCUAAUACCGCAUACGACCUACGGGUGAAAGCAGGGGAUCUUCGGACCUUGCGCGAUUGAAUGAGCCGAUGUCGGAUUAGCUAGUUGGCGGGGUAAAGGCCCACCAAGGCGACGAUCCGUAGCUGGUCUGAGAGGAUGAUCAGCCACACUGGAACUGAGACACGGUCCAGACUCCUACGGGAGGCAGCAGUGGGGAAUAUUGGACAAUGGGCGCAAGCCUGAUCCAGCCAUACCGCGUGGGUGAAGAAGGCCUUCGGGUUGUAAAGCCCUUUUGUUGGGAAAGAAAAGCAGUAGGUUAAUACCCCGCUGUUCUGACGGUACCCAAAGAAUAAGCACCGGCUAACUUCGUG